rnacentral:snRNA from 1 species
GGGACCCACAGUAAAGUGGG